rnacentral:rRNA from 1 species
ACACGCAUGACACACUGCAUAUCAAUAAGCGGAGGAAAAGAAACUAACAAGGAUUCCCCUAGUAACGGCGAGUGAAGCGGGAAGAGCUCAAAUUUGAAAUCUUCAAGGGUUUCCCUUGACGAAUUGUAGUUUAAAGAAGUGUUUUCUGUUAGAGAGGUGGUAAAAGUUCUUUGGAAUAGGACAUCAUAGAGGGUGAGAAUCCCGUAUUUGAUCACUUUCUACUAACGUUGUGAUACACUUUCAAAGAGUCGGAUUGUUUGGGAAUGCAGUCCAAAAUGGGUGGUAAAUUUCAUCUAAAGCUAAAUAUUGGCGAGAGACCGAUAGCGAACAAGUACCGUGAGGGAAAGAUGAAAAGAACUUUGAAAAGAGAGUUAAACAGUACGUGAAAUUGUCAAAAGGGAAGCGUUUGACACCAGUGUUGUUUUUCCGAAAAUCAAUUAAGAAUGGCCGGAUUUUAAGUUUCAUGACCUUAAAAGCUUGUUUCUUAUUUUUCUUGUCUUUCUUAAUGCACUUUUCGGUUAACAAGUCAACAUCAAUUUCUUUUGUUGUAAAAGGGUAAGAGGAAGGUGGCUUGCGCUUCGGCUCAAGUGUUUAUAGCCUUUUAUCUCUGCAAUCGGAGAGAUUGAGGUCUGCAGCGUAGAUCCUUCGGGGUUAGAUACAUUGGUGCUAAGCUAUAGCCUUGUAUAGACAACUUGUUGACUAUGCUCAGUCAUGUAGCUUACUCGCUGAUGCUAUUUUACCUACGCUUAGGAUGUUGAGUCGUAGAGCACGCAG